rnacentral:rRNA from 1 species
UACGUAGGGGCAAGCGUUGUCCGGAAUUAUUGGGCGUAAAGCGCGCGCAGGCGGUUGAUUAAGUUUGGUGUUUAAGCCCGGGCUCAACUCCGGUUCGCACUGAAACUGGUCGACUUGAGUGUAGGAGAGGAAAGUGGAAUUCCACGUGUAGCGGUGAAAUGCGUAGAGUAUCGGGAAGGAACACCUGUGGCGAAAGCGGCGGCACUGGACCACAACUGACGCUGAGGCGCGAAAGCUAGGGGAGCAAACAGG